UUGCCAUCAGCAAAUGAGGCCUGUGGGAGCAGCUCAGAGGACUCAGGAAGUAGCCACAGGGCGUAACAGUUCACUGGCUUUGGAGGGAGGCUUCCUCUGGACCUCAUUUCCAUAUCUCAGACACAGGACAGUGGGAGUCUUGGGUUGAGAAGACUGACACAUUCCUGCUCCUAUCUGCUAGCGUUGCUUAGGGACAGCCAGCCUACCCCCACUCCAGUCCACCCGUCACCCCUCAGCAACUCUUCUGAAAUAAUCCUGAAGCCUGGCAACCCCUGCUUUGACCAAAGUGAGCUUGGCUAAACAUUCUGCUACCUUCACCAAAAGUCUCCCAGUCUGAUUUUUUAGAACGGCCAGAAGGAAGCCCUUGCUUUUCUCAAGGCCCACUAGGUACUCUGUGCAGAGAAAACUUGGUCAGCAGGAGGCAACUCUAUGGGAACUCCCAGGGCUGGCUGGCUGUAGCUGAGGCCUUUCUGCUUGGAGAUAAGGAAGUAUUUAUUGAUGGAUCAAAGGCUAUAAUUUUAAUGGGACAACUGUGGAUUAAAAGUUUGCUGUACAGCCAAAGGUGGAAAAAGCCAUAAUCUUAGGAACUUUAUGUAAAUCAAGGAGCCUCUGAAGUACCUAAGAGCCUUCUGGAUGGUCCUAUCUUCUAUGCUGCCCAGCUGCUCCUCUGAGAUGUUCACUCCAAACAUCAUGCCUGACACCUAUAACAGCUUGUCA
rnacentral:lncRNA from 1 species